AGUGAACGCUGGCGGUAGGCCUAACACAUGCAAGUCGAACGGCAGCACAGUAAGAGCUUGCUCUUACGGGUGGCGAGUGGCGGACGGGUGAGGAAUACAUCGGAAUCUACUUUUUCGUGGGGGAUAACGUAGGGAAACUUACGCUAAUACCGCAUACGACCUACGGGUGAAAGCAGGGGAUCUUCGGACCUUGCGCGAUUGAAUGAGCCGAUGUCGGAUUAGCUAGUUGGCGGGGUAAAGGCCCACCAAGGCGACGAUCCGUAGCUGGUCUGAGAGGAUGAUCAGCCACACUGGAACUUAGACACGGUCCAGACUCCUACGGGGGGCAGCAGUGGGGAAUAUUGGACAAUGGGCGCAAGCCUGAUCCAGCCAGACCGCGUGGGUGAAGAAGGCCUUCGGGUUGUAAAGCCCUUUUGUUGGGAAAGAAAAGCAGCAGGUUAAUACCCCGCUGUUCUGACGGUACCCAAAGAAUAAGCACCGGCUAACUUCGUG
rnacentral:rRNA from 1 species